rnacentral:rRNA from 1 species
GAUCCUGGCUCGGGAUGAACGCUAGCUACAGGCUUAACACAUGCAAGUCGAGGGGCAGCAUGGUCUUAGCUUGCUAAGGCCGAUGGCGACCGGCGCACGGGUGAGUAACACGUAUCCAACCUGCCGUCUACUCUUGGACAGCCUUCUGAAAGGAAGAUUAAUACAAGAUGGCAUCAUGAGUUCGCAUGUUCACAUGAUUAAAGGUAUUCCGGUAGACGAUGGGGAUGCG